UACCAGCAAGUCAUGUUUAACAAAACUAGGUUCGAAGUGAAAAUGUAAUUGAUGGACACACAUUCCGCCCAACCGCAGGAGGCGUAACAAUUUGACACACACAAACAGAUGAAGUGACACAUAUUUAUGAAUUAAAAUAGCCUUUGUGUCUGCACAUUUAUUUCAUUACAUGUACUGUAUAUACUCGAAAGACUUGGGUCACGCAACUGUAAUCCUCUCCAAUCAGGCAAAGUUUGGCGCGCGUGUCGCACCUGUAAUCAGAUGAACGCAGCUGAUCUCAAUACGGCGCUAAUCCGCUGUGGCCGUGCACACCGCCGCUGUGCGCUAACGUUAGCGCGUUUGUUUUUACUGUACGCUGUAAUCUGACCAUCGUGAAUCUGGUAUGGUAGUAUAGAGUGGGAUUUCAUCUGCUUUUUCGCAUGUUUCUGCAAAGUAUGAUACUAAAGGCAGAGGUAGACAAGGGUUGCAGGGAGCCAUAUUCUAUCCUGGGAGACUCUUCUUGUGCUUUUUCAUUCCAAUCCUGAGCGAGAAUCUGCUCCACUAACAGGUCCACUCCUUUCUGCCAUUUGACCUGAGCUGUGACAUUACGGUUCUGGUGAGAGUCUCCUGUACCUGUGAAGGCUGCAUUGUAACGGUGGAUCUUUGGAGAAUCUCUCUUCUCUCUCAUAG